UGAUGAUGAUUUGCAAUAAGAAAAUUGGUGGCCGUUUGUGAAUCCAUUUAAGUGUUUGCCAAAUUAUUAAUGAUCGACGUGUCCGGUGAUGGAACCCAACAUCGUCAAUUUUCCAUCAGAUGAUGAAAUGAAAUCCAAGCUAAUUUUAUUUGCAAAAAAAAAAUCCAAGGUGGUCCAAAUGGAAUUAGCCAAACAAACGAAAAAAAAAACGGUUUGAGACCAUAAAAAAUAAAAUCAAAUCAAUUUUCUUCGCAAAUCUAUGCAUACACAGGUCAUAUUAUGCUUCUGUUUUUCUUUAUGAUGAACCAUUAUUAUUAUGGGUCCAUAAAAAAAAAUCUUUUGUAUCCAGCCAGAUCUAUAAUGAAUAUCUCUGUCUGUCUGUCUGUGUGUUUUUCUGUCAACUUUUCUAUCUCUACUCAAAUUUAAAAUAAGGAUGACAAUAGCCGAUCGAAUCAACAAACCAAAUCAACCAACUAACCAACCAACCGAGAUUUGUUUCAUCAUCAUCAUCAUCAUCGAGAUCGAGAUCGAGAUCAAAAUCAAUCAUAUAUGAGUAGCAUUUGUUGCAUUCGUUUCUCAUUCAUUGGUAGAAAAAAUGUCACCAUAAUAUGAAUAUGGUGAAAAAUAUUCAUAAUAAUCAAAAUCACACAGUAUACAAUAAUCAAUGAAUCUUAUCUGAUUGCCUAACCUCUCUCUCUCUCUCUCUCACAUUGUUUAUCUCUACUGUCGAAAUCAGAAAACAAAAUCAGUGUAUUUUCCAAGAAUUGAAAUUUUAACAUUACAAACAAACAAUCAAGUAAAUCACAAUGGUGACACAUAUGCAGCACAGAGACAGAGAGACAAAGAAUUAAACGUUUUUUUUUAUUAUUAAUCUUUGAAGCCAAGGUGGUAUACUACUGCUGUAAUAUUACAUUACCACCUUCUCUCUGUUUCCCUUACGGUGUGUUUUGUUUGUAUGUUUCACUGUUCCUGUCUAGUAAUGAAAAAAAAUGAGAUCAGAUCAGCUUAUCACGAUGACCGGAUCGCUUAAAUCAAUGGACAGAGAAGAAGAAGAAGAAGAAGAAAAAGCCAAUCCUCGAUCCCAAAUAAAAUUCACGUCAAAGCCAUAUCGAAUGACGCGUAUACAACAACAACACACACACACACCGAGAUAUGAUGGUACAAGCAUAACCAAUGUCCAUAACGAAUGUCCAAUUAUUGAUGAUCAAAAGAAAAAAAAAUCUGAUGAUGAUGGUGUUUGGUGUUGUGUGGUAUAAGGACUUCAAACUGGUCAUUUUUUUCUCUUUCUUUUUUGUUUCAUUUUGGGUGACAUAUGAUAUUCAAUCCAAAAGAGAAUGAUUGGCCAAAAAAUUGUCAAUUCGACCAGAAAAAAACAACAUUCGAUCCUAUUACCUAUUUUUUUGAU